rnacentral:rRNA from 1 species
CAAUAGCGUAUAUUAAAGUUGUUGCGGUAAAAAAGCUCGUAGUUGGAUUUCUACCGAAGAUAGCCGGUCGGGUCUUCGACCUUGUAUCUGGUUUUGUCUUUGGUAUCCUCAUAGGGAACGUUUCUGCGCUUUAUUGCGUGGUGCGGUAUCUAUGACUUUUACUUUGAGGAAAUUAGAGUGUUCACGGCAGGCAAACGCCUUGAAUAUAUUAGCAUGGAAUAAUAACAUAGGAUCUUCGUCCUAUUUUGUUGGUUUCUAGGGCUAAGAUAAUGAUUAAUAGGGAUAAUUGGGGGCAUCUGUAUCAACGCGUCAGAGGUGGAAUUCUUGGAUUUAUGAAAGACGAACUACUGCGAAAGCAUUUGCCAAGGAUGUUUUCAUUAA